AUUGAACGCUAGCGGCAGGCCUAACACAUGCAAGUCGAACGAGUGGCGGACGGGUGAGUAAUGUAUGGGGAUCUGCCUGAUAGCGGGGGAUAACUACUGGAAACGGUGGCUAAUACCGCAUACGAUCGGAUGAACCCAUAUGGGAUUAGCUAGUAGGUGGGGUAAAGGCUCACCAAGGCGACGAUCCGUAGCUGGUCUGAGAGGAUGACCAGCCACACUGGUACUGAGACACGGCCCAGACUCCUACGGGAGGCAGCAGUGGGGAAUAUUGCACAAUGGGCGCAAGCCUGAUCCAGCCAUUCCGCGUGUAUGAAGAAGGCCUUAGGGUUGUAAAGUACUUUCAGCAGUGAGGCGUUAUCUGCAGAAUAAGCACCGGCUAACUCCGUGCCAGCAGCCGCGGUAAUAC
rnacentral:rRNA from 1 species